rnacentral:snRNA from 12 species
UGCUUUGCGCAGUGGCAGUACCGCAAGCAAUGAGCUUUUAGCGAGCUGCGGUUAUUGCUAGUUGAAAACUAAACCCAAUUCCUCGCCAUUUGAUCGUGAAAUACCGAUUAAAUAGGCAAUUUUUGGAGGCCUCUUGGCCUUUAUCAUUUAUGAAAGAAAUUUAAAUAAAAGGGG